rnacentral:antisense_RNA from 1 species
AUUGCGGGGCUGCUAGAGGCAACCUGAAGUCAGGAUUCUUUCUUUCCUGCUGUGAGAGGGACGUCCCUCCUCCGUAGCUUUUGUCUCUCUAUUGCCUGCGCCGUGUCCUGGACUGCUCACGGGAGUUCUGCAGGAGACGCCGGAAUAUCUGGAAGCUGAAAAAUGGAAAUAAAUGGAAAGACCAGAAUAUUGAAGAUCACUACAGAAAUCUAAGAGGCCAGGUUCCUGAAGGUUUCUUGCAUCACAUCUCUAUAGAGAUUUUUCUGGGAAGGAUCCAGCAAAGCCCACUCCUCUUGGGUGAAGGUCACAGCCACAUCCUCAAAGGCCACUGAAUCCUGAAACAUCUCACAUGUAUAGAGGAAGAUGGAUAAGACUAACAUCACUGGGAGCCUAUACUCUAUUCCCAAGAAGUUUCCAUGAUGCUGUGGACUCAAUUAUUCCAUGACCAUCAGACCUCAUACUCUCUGUCUACACUCAGUUUCUUCCAUAAAGUAAUUCUGAGGCUAC